rnacentral:rRNA from 1 species
UACGAAGGGGGCUAGCGUUGUUCGGAAUUACUGGGCGUAAAGCGUAUGCAGGCGGAUUGUUAAGUCAGGGGUGAAAUCCUGAGGCUCAACCUCAGAACUGCCUUUGAUACUGGCAAUCUUGAGUCCGGGAGAGGUAAGUGGAACUGCGAGUGUAGAGGUGAAAUUCGUAGAUAUUCGCAAGAACACCAGUGGCGAAGGCGGCUUACUGGUCCGGAACUGACGCUGAGGUGCGAAAGCGUGGGGAGCAAACAGG